ACAGGUAGGAAGUCUCGAGUCUUUACAUUGUAUAUGAAAUACGUUGGGUGUUUUUCAAGACCGAGGUGAAUUUAGGAGGGGUAAGAGUUUUGGUGGGAAAAGCCUGUUAACAAAGACAUUCCUUUAGUUCAUACUGGAGGGGGAGAAGGAACCCACUUCUCCUGUCAUUUACAACACGGUGUAAAUUGAUCUGAUCCUCACAGGACAGUCAUGACACCACCAUAAGACUUCGUACACAAGGCGGUUGGGGUUUAGUGUUCUUGUUCCUAACUUAGUCCCUCUCUCUACACUGGCAGUUGUGAGAACCCGGAGGAUCCGUACCGUGUAGUCUUCCACCCGGUGGUAGCUGACGCCAGGGUCCACUUCCCCCCCUCACGUCAAACGCUUUGAGGUCUAUAUGUUUUCCUUCGUCGAGGAUGCGGUUGAGCCGAGUGGCCAGGUCUUCGUCCAUUGUGAUGUGGUCAUCUGUGACGCCAGUAGUCCCUCUGGCGGCCCCUGUAGUGGACAAUGUGUGAAUCAGGACAACUUGAAAAGAGGUCAACGACAUGUCAAAGACCUCUUUGAGGAGCCUCAUUUCUAUGUUUCUUCUGGAUACAUUCUUUGGGUGUAAUGUCUUGUUCUAACAUGUCAAAUAAAGUGUUCUAUAUAACAA